AUGGAGCGGGGUCUUACAAGGAGAGAGGAAUCCAGGGAGCAGGGUCUGGAAUGGGUAAGAAGGAAAAGCACUCACGGAGCCUGGAAGAGGAAGACCCGCCAGUCAGCUGUGCGCAGGUAGAAGACGUGUGGUCUCUUGCUAUAAUCGCUGGCGCGGGUAGCCAGGGCGUGGUGGAUGCUGAUAGCAUUCUUCAGCUCUGCCUCGGAAAGAGCCUUCCCAGGCUGAUACUCCUCCUAUGGGGGUGCCCAUCUCGUCCUGCUCCAGUCCUGGCCUGGCCAUCUCCAGCUACCUAAUCCCCUCUGGCAAGCCAGCCCACUCCUGGCCCCGCCCACUCCUGGCCCCGCCCACUCCUGGCCCCGCACCUUCUGCAGGUAGAGGAUCAUGCCCUUGAGGAUCCCGUGGAAGCUCUUCCAGCCCCGCUUGCCACGAGGUGCUAGGGAGGGAAGGCAGGUCAGGGUGGCCUGAGGAAGGCCCGCUCCCAUCCAUCCCCCAGUCCCCGCACAGCCACAUACUCUUCCUGCAGUCAGGGUCUGCGUGCACCUUUCGCACCAGGGCCCCGUGCUUGUAGACAGCUGCCCCGGGCUCAGGAGUCAGGUCCAGGAAGGGGCUGGAACUGCUGCCACUGCCUCCGCUGACCCGCUUGAUGACCUUGGGGUUAGGAUCGGCCAACUCGGACAGAGACCGUCGCAGCUCCUCCUCGUCUCUGCAGAUGUGACUGUUUCAGAGAGUGCUGGCCACACUGCCACACAACCCUAGAAUGCCUCUUUAGUGACUAGGAGCUGCCAGGAACUCCCUUCACCUGGAGGCUCUGCUAUCUCCGAGUAGGGCUCCACAGGCUCCAGGUCUGUGUCCUCCCUGGCAUGAGAGCUACCUGGGGCUCCCCUCCCCGCACCGCGUGGAUGCCUGCUGUGUCUCUGUUUCUGCACACACCCAGCCCUCACACUUUUCUCCUGGACAGACACGUGUGACUCAGCUCUCUCCUAACCACACCUAACACCCGGCUCGGCUCCGCUCUGCUCGCAGUUGGUUAUGUGGAGCCAGAAGGAAGUAGUGAACAGGCUCGUGCCUAUAACCCCACCACUGGAGAUGUGACAGCAGGGCAGUCACAUCCAAGCCAACCUGUCUUGAGACCCUGUCUCAGAAAUCUAAAAGCUAAAGGUGACAUCUUAGAAUGCCUCCCCCUGAUGUGUUCCUUUGUAAAUCCUGUGAAGAUAGAAAACUCAAGACUCUCUCAUUGCCUUGCUCAACAAUUUCCAAUAAACCAUUGCCUCCU
rnacentral:lncRNA from 1 species